rnacentral:miRNA from 1 species
AUGUGUGUGUGUGUGUGUGUGUGUGUGUGUGUGUUGGUGUGGGGAGAGAGACACAGACACACACACACACACACACACACACACACACGCAGAU